UACGUAGGGGCAAGCGUUGGUCCGGAAUCAUUGGGCGUAAAGCGCGCGUAGGCGGCCCGGUAAGUCCGCUCUGAAAGCCCCGGGCUCAACCUGGGAAUGGCGUCUGGGACGGGGUGGCUAGAGAUCGGGAGAGGAGCGUGGAAUUCCCAGUGUAGAGGUGAAAUUCGUAGAUAUUGGGAAGAACACCGGUGGCGAAAGGCGGCGCUCUGGACCGAGACUGACGCUGAGGCGCGAAAGCGUGGGGAGCAAACAGG
rnacentral:rRNA from 1 species